GUGGGGAAUCUUGCGCAAUGGGCGAAAGCCUGACGCAGCCAUGCCGCGUGAAUGAUGAAGGUCUUAGGAUUGUAAAAUUCUUUCACCGGGGACGAUAAUGACGGUACCCGGAGAAGAAGCUCCGGCUAACUUCGUGCCAGCAGCCGCGGUAAUACGAAGGGGGCUAGCGUUGCUCGGAAUUACUGGGCGUAAAGGGCGCGUAGGCGGACAGCUUAGUCAGAGGUGAAAGCCCAGGGCUCAACCUUGGAAUUGCCUUUGAUACUGGCUGUCUUGAGUUUGGGAGAGGUGAGUGGAACUCCGAGUGUAGAGGUGAAAUUCGUAGAUAUUCGGAAGACCACCAGUGGCGAAGGCGACUCACUGGCCCAAUACUGACGCUGAGGCGCGAAAGCGUGGGGAGCAAACAGGAUUAGAAACCCCAGUAGUCC
rnacentral:rRNA from 1 species